rnacentral:lncRNA from 1 species
UGAUUAUUUCCCUGCAGUUCAUACCCGGCACAUGGUCAAUGCUGCGUAGGAGUCCGCAUCCUCAGAGGAGAGUAGGGAGAAACAGGACAGAAGCAGGAUCCCUCUCCCACCACAAGAGGCUGAUGCAAGUCAAGGUGGACCCCAGGAGAGAGGAAUUAUCAGAGGAAUGCACCAGCAGGGUCACCUUUCAGCACCUCCACCAUCUGCUCUCAGAAAAAAAGGAGGAGCUAAGUACUUUGCUGCCAUCCACAUGUGCCUCAGAAGGCCCAGGUGUAGGUUGGAGAGGAAGCACCAUGUCCCUCCAGCUCUUUGGAUGUGGCUGGGGAAAUGGACCGCAGAUGCAUCUCACUUAUCAGGCACAGGAUAAUUCCCAUCUGCACAGCUGAGUUCAAGCCCCAGAAGGAUUUCCCCUAACUGUGUAGAGAUCUGUCUAAAGCAGCAAGAGCCUCAGGUUUACAGCAGCAUGGAGCAAGCACCCUGGGAGUUGGCUGAUGCUGAUACGCAUUUUGGAACCACUGCAGGUGGUGAAAGGGAAGCAGAUAUAUCUGGCUCUGGGCAAGAAGACUAGAAAUAAAGCCAGUGGCAAAGCAAUUCAUAAGAAUUGAGAGUAGAAUUUCAUUUAUGUAGUUUUGUGCUUUCUCUUUUGGAGUUCUGGAAGGACAGACUUCAGGGUAGAAUCUGUUGCUGAGAGAAGAGACCUUAGAAGUGGAGGCUGUAGGGAAGCGAGUGAUGAGACCAUGUGACAGAAAUCUUAUCCUAGCAUAAGUGAGGCUCCGACAGGUCUUGGAGGUGGUGAUAAACUCCUGCAGAAUGUCUUUGAGGCUGGUAGCUAUGGUAC